UACGUAGGGUGCGAGCGUUAAUCGGAAUUACUGGGCGUAAAGCGUGCGCAGGCGGUUUGUAAGUCAGAUGUGAAAUCCCCGGGCUUAACCUGGGACUGCGUUUGAAACUACAAGGCUAGAGUGUGGCAGAGGGGGGUGGAAUUCCACGUGUAGCAGUGAAAUGCGCAGAUAUCAGGAAGAACACCCGUGGCUAAGGCGGCUCUCUAGUACGGUACUGACGCUGAGACGCGAAAGCGUGGGGAGCGAACAGG
rnacentral:rRNA from 1 species